rnacentral:rRNA from 1 species
GAUGAACGCUAGCGGCAGGCUUAAUACAUGCAAGUCGAGGGGCAGCGAGGUUAGCAAUAACUGUCGGCGACCGGCGUACGGGUGAGUAACACGUACCCAACCUACCUUAAACUGGGAAAUAGCCCUUGGAAACGAGGAUUAAUGUCCCAUAACACUGCGAAGAGGCAUCUCUUUGCAUUUAAAGCUCCGGCGGUUUAAGA